UACAGAGGGUGCAAGCGUUGUUCGGAAUUACUGGGCGUAAAGCGCAUGUAGGCGGCAACGCAAGUCGGGCGUGAAAUCCCACGGCUCAACCGUGGAAGUGCACUCGAAACUGCGUAGCUAGAGUCCUGGAGAGGAAGGUGGAAUGCUUGGUGUAGAGGUGAAAUUCGUAGAUAUCAAGCGGAACACCGGUGGCGAAGGCGGCCUUCUGGACAGUGACUGACGCUGAGAUGCGAAAGCGUGGGGAGCAAACAGG
rnacentral:rRNA from 1 species